GACUUGCUGCCUGGAACACCUACAGUAACAGUGUUUCUUUAGAUGGUGAGGAUCUUAUCUUGACAAGUUUAAAUUAGAUUAAUAUACAGAAAUCUUGUUUCUAAAACCCUUUAAACAAAUUGCAUCGUUUGAAUAAUCGUUUGGCUCUGAUACCAUUUUAAUAUAACGAUUCCUUAAUAAUUUGUUUUAAUUAUUGUAACGUUAUUACUAUUUUGAUAUACAAAAUUUUGGAAUUUGAUAUUUAUAAGAAUUUGAGCGUUGUACACAGAAUAUGAUUAAAACUUACUUUUAUUUAUCUUGAGUUGUGAUACAAUCUUUGAUUACAAACUUAAAACUUAGAAAACACAGGAAAUUUCAGAGAGAAGGGAGAGCUUUUAGAGAGUGAAGGUUUUUUGAGAGUGAAAUUUGCUCGUGUCCUCUUCCUUGAGCAUAAUUACGUAUUUAUAGACAAAGAGUGCUUGAAUAAAGUCUUGCAACGUGUCGUCUUCUAGUGGUGCCGACACUUGAUUUAAUACGUGUUGAGUCUUGAGUGGUGCCGACAAUUGCUGUCAAAAACUGUUGUUGUUUUGUGCAGAAGUCUUUGUGUGAGUCCCAUGUGGGUCCCGCCAUUGUCGGUUGGAUUCUUUCUCGAAAUUCUUGCAUAGCUUUUCCGCGAGUCUUGUUAUACAGAUAUACUCUGUAUAUUAUUUUGUAGAUAGUAGUAAUAAAAUACAGAGAAGAAAAUACAGAAAUAAUGUACAGAGUCUACUAGAAUAUACUUAAAACCGAAAUUGUAAAUAUAGACAUACUUUUAGGUUUUUUUUUUUUUUUUUUUUAGAAUAUACUUAAAACCGAACUUGUAAAUAUAGACAUACUUUGAGGGUUUUUUUUUUUUUUUUUUUUUUUUUUUUUUUUUUUUAUACUUAAAACCGAACUUGUAAAUAAAGACAUACUUUUUUGAUUUGUCUUGUUGUUGGUUUAAAGAUUGGGUAGGUCGUUGAUGAGAAAGGGUGUUGAGUGUGUUGGUCCACUUUUCCUUUUUCAUUAAUAUUUAUUUUAUUAUCAAUGCUGUCUAUCUGUUUAGAAAUUGUAUGUAGUAUUUGACUUUGAUAAUUGUUCUGUUGAUAUAUAGAUUUAAUAUCUUGCAUUAACACUGGUUCUUUAUCAUCUUUGUUAGCUCCAGUUUUAAAGGGUGUAGCUAAAAUUUGUCGGUUUAAAGUAUUUAUCUUUAAAUCAUUUAAAGGUGGAUGAAUUGCUUUAAUUUUAUUUCCAUCCACUUGUUCCCAUACUUGGCUUAAUGAUACACUCGCAUUAAUCGUCUUGAAUGGAUAAUUGAUAUUAUGAGCUAUUGAAUAAAUUUCAAACCAUACGAAAAAUGGAAUAUUCAUUUCUUUUAGUAUCAUACAAUCAUACCAUUUUUCUCUGUACUCAUUGGUUUGUUGUUUAGAGAAAGUUUUAAAAUACCAACCUCGUUUUUCUUCAUUUUCUUUUGAAUAAAAGUCUUCUCUUAUAUAUUGUUUAUCAAUUUCGUAUUUUUUAGUUAUAACAUUUAUUGAUCUAAAAUCUGAUGGAGUAGGUGAUGUUGGAUAUGCAUCUUGAUCUGGUUCUGCUAUUGGUGCUUUAAAUCUUAUCGGUUCAUCUUGUUUAGUGUUUUGAUUUACACUUUCCGUUUCUGAAUUUGUACUGGAUUGACCCGUACGAUAUUCAGAAAAAGAGGCUCUUGAAUGAUACGAACUUAUUCUAGGUGGAAGUGGAUCCCUAUAAGAUCCAAACCUUAAUAAUAUUUUUCCAUCUUUCUGCUCAAUUAUUUUAGAUAUAUUCUUUUGCUCAAAAUUUCUAGGCGGUUGAGUAAUUUCAAUUUUCCAUUGAUCUGGAAUAGUUAUUUCAUCCCAUUUUAAUUGCUUUGGUGUGUAUGUAGCUGUUGGUGUAUCUUUACUAUGGACUGCUAGAAUUGUUGUUUCUCCUUUAUCAUCUUGUAAUAGACAUCUUGGGUUAAACUCAGAAGUUGAUUGCUUAAAAUAAACUCGAUAAAGUAGAAGAUAUCCAUGUCUUUCAUUUUGAAAUUUUAUUUCAGGUAAAUGUACAUUUAAAGUUAAAGUAUUGAGUAUGGUUGGGUCAUGCAAGCUUACUUGAAAGUUAGGGGCACAAUUAAAAUAUACAGCACCAUUGCAUAAAUUUGAUUGUACUGCUCCUAAAAGAGAGUCUUCAAAUUUUAAGAGAGCUUUAUCUCUUAAUAACAUUAAUAUUGGCGAGUCUAUACCUGUUCUUGAUAAGGGUUUUAUAGCAAUUUGGAUUAGACCAAAAUGAAUGUAAUUAAAUCCUUUUUGCUUAUAUUUUUCCAAAGCUAGAGAAGAUAAUAACUUAAUUUCUUCAAAUUCAUUUUGUAGAGACAAAGUUUGCUCAUGUUCUUUAAUUGAAUAAGCUGUUUUAAAAUCAAAAGUUCCUAUUUGAUAUAUAUGUUCUGGAUUAAUAUGCGGUAAAUGAUCUCUUGAUAUUUCUUGAUUAAACGUUGUUAUUUUUUGACAUAAUUUCUCUUGAGUUAAUUGUUGAAUUUGAAGAGGUUGAUGCAUUUUUUGAUUUAAAAAGUUUUCUAAACGAAGACGCCAUGAUUUAAUCUAUAUUUAAACUCAUUAUAGAAGAGAUACUAACCGAUUCUAAUUGGACACAACUGAGGUUUACCAACGGUCUUACUGCCUUCUCUGGACUUGCUGCCUGGAACACCUACAGUAACAGUGUUUCUUUAGAUGGUGAGGAUCUUAUCUUGACAAGUUUAAAUUAGAUUAAUAUACAGAAAUCUUGUUUCUAAAACCCUUUAAACAAAUUGCAUCGUUUGAAUAAUCGUUUGGCUCUGAUACCAUUUUAAUAUAACGAUUCCUUAAUAAUUUGUUUUAAUUAUUGUAACGUUAUUACUAUUUUGAUAUACAAAAUUUUGGAAUUUGAUAUUUAUAAGAAUUUGAGCGUUGUACACAGAAUAUGAUUAAAACUUACUUUUAUUUAUCUUGAGUUGUGAUACAAUCUUUGAUUACAAACUUAAAACUUAGAAAACACAGGAAAUUUCAGAGAGAAGGGAGAGCUUUUAGAGAGUGAAGGUUUUUUGAGAGUGAAAUUUGCUCGUGUCCUCUUCCUUGAGCAUAAUUACGUAUUUAUAGGCAAAGAGUGCUUGAAUAAAGUCUUGCAACGUGUCGUCUUCUAGUGGUGCCGACACUUGAUUUAAUACGUGUUGAGUCUUGAGUGGUGCCGACAAUUGCUGUCAAAAACUGUUGUUGUUUUGUGCAGAAGUCUUUGUGUGAGUCCCAUGUGGGUCCCGCCAUUGUCGGUUGGAUUCUUUCUCGAAAUUCUUGCAUAGCUUUUCCGCGAGUCUUGUUAUACAGAUAUACUCUGUAUAUUAUUUUUGUAGAUAGUAGUAAUAAAAUACAGAGAAGAAAAUACAGAAAUAAUGUACAGAGUCUACUAGAAUAUACUUAAAACCGAAAUUGUAAAUAUAGACAUACUUUUAGGUUUUUUUUUUUUUUUUUUUUUUUUUUUUUUUUUUUUUAGAAUUACUUAAAACCGAACUUGUAAAUAUAGACAUACUUUGAGGGUUUUUUUUUUUUUUUUUUUUUUUUUUUUUUUUUUUUUUUAUACUUAAAACCGAACUUGUAAAUAAAGACAUACUUUUUUGAUUUGUCUUGUUGUUGGUUUAAAGAUUGGGUAGGUCGUUGAUGAGAAAGGGUGUUGAGUGUGUUGGUCCACUUUUCCUUUUUCAUUAAUAUUUAUUUUAUUAUCAAUGCUGUCUAUCUGUUUAGAAAUUGUAUGUAGUAUUUGACUUUGAUAAUUGUUCUGUUGAUAUAUAGAUUUAAUAUCUUGCAUUAACACUGGUUCUUUAUCAUCUUUGUUAGCUCCAGUUUUAAA
rnacentral:lncRNA from 1 species